AGGGACGGGGACGCGGUGCAGUGUU
rnacentral:miRNA from 14 species